UUUUUUGUUCAAAUAUAAUUGAUAAUUUCAUUAAUGAAGGGGUUAAACAUGGCCCAGACUAAAAGGGAGCACAACGAAACAAUACAGCAACUUAUUCUACCCUGGCCCCAUACAAAGUCCAUGGCCCAACAAACCAAACUCUAAGCCCCAUACAAUGUCUAUCGCCCAACAAGCCUAACCCUAAGCAGUAGAGGCGUCCAAAAUGCACAACCAACGACCGGUACCACCACCGCCGCUAAUUGUGGACUGUAGACCCCGGGAAGAACGAGAAAAUUUUGACAGGAAGACCUAAAUUUAGACAUUGUCCUGAGCACCAAAACUUACUAAUGCAUUUCAAAAUCAAGAAAAGCACAAAAUCCAUUCGCUAUUAUGAUAAGUUUACGGAUAGAGAAAUUUUG
rnacentral:misc_RNA from 1 species